rnacentral:rRNA from 1 species
GAUGAACGCUGACGGCGUGCUUAACACAUGCAAGUCGAACGGGAAACAUUUUAUUGAAGCUUCGGCGGAUUUAGCUUGUUUCUAGUGGCGGACGGGUGAGUACGCGUGGGUAACCUGCCUUAUACCGGGGGAUAACAGCCAGAAAUGGCUGCUAAUACUGCAUAAGCGCACGGAGCCGCAUGGCUCUGUGUGAAAAACUCCGGUGGUAUAAGAUGGACCCGCGUUGGAUUAGCUAGUUGGCAGGGCAGCGGCCUACCAAGGCGACGAUCCAUAGCCGGCCUGAGAGGGUGGACGGCCACAUUGGGACUGAGACACGGCCCAGACUCCUACGGGAGGCAGCAGUGGGGAAUAUUGCACAAUGGGGGAAACCCUGAUGCAGCGACGCCGCGUGAAGGAAGAAGUAUCUCGGUAUGUAAACUUCUAUCAGCAGGGAAGAAAAUGACGGUACCUGACUAAGAAGCCCCGGCUAACUACGUGCCAGCCGCCGCAGUAA